rnacentral:rRNA from 1 species
AAUGAACGCUGGCGGCAGGCCUAACACAUGCAAGUCGAGCGAGCGGCGGACGGGGGAGUAAUGUCUGGGAAACUGCCGGAUGGAGGGGGAUAACUACUGGAAAAGGUAGCUAAUACCGCAUACCAUCGGAUGUGCCGAGAUGGGAUUAGCUAGUAGGUGGGGUAAAGGCUCACCUAGGCGACGAUCCCUAGCUGGUCUGAGAGGAUGACCAGCCACCCUGGAACUGAGCCACGGUCCAGACUCCGACGGGCGGCAGCAGUGGGGAAUAUUGCACAAUGGGCGCAAGCCUGAUGCAGCCAUGCCGCGUGUAUGAAGAAGGCCUUCGGGUUGUAAAAUACUUUCAGCGGGGAGGCGUUACCCGCAGAAGAAGCACCGGCUAACUCCGUGCCAGCAGCCGCGGUAAUUC